rnacentral:SRP_RNA from 1 species
GCCAGGUGUGGUGGCGCAUGCCUGUAAUCCCAGCUACUUGGAAGGCUGAGGCAGGAGAAUUGCUUGAACCCAGGAGGCAUAGGCUGCAGUAAGCUGAGAUCACGCCACUGCACUCCAGCCUGGGCAACAGAGUGAGACUCUGUCUCAA